rnacentral:rRNA from 1 species
GACAGAGGGUGCAAACGUUGUUCGGAAUUACUGGGCGUAAAGCGCGUGUAGGCGGCAGGGCAUGUCGGAUGUGAAAUCCCGUGGCUCAACCACGGAAGUGCACCCGAAACUGCCCAGCUUGAGUCUCGGAGAGGAAGGCGGAAUGCUUGGUGUAGAGGUGAAAUUCGUAGAUAUCAUUUGGAACGCCAAUGGUGAAAACAGCUGACUGGGAGUGUGCUGACGCUGAGACACGAAAGCCAGGGGAGCGAACGGG